rnacentral:rRNA from 1 species
GACAGAGGAUGCAAGCGUUAUCCGGAAUGAUUGGGCGUAAAGCGUCUGUAGGUGGCUUUUCAAGUCCGCCGUCAAAUCCCAGGGCUCAACCCUGGACAGGCGGUGGAAACUACCAAGCUGGAGUACGGUAGGGGCAGAGGGAAUUCCGGUGGAGCGGUGAAAUGCAUUGAGAUCGGAAGAACACCAACGGCGAAAGCACUCUGCUGGCCGACACUGACACUGAGAGACGAAGCUAGG